GAAUAGUAGAUCUGAAUGUUACCCAUGG
rnacentral:piRNA from 1 species